rnacentral:lncRNA from 1 species
GACUCAAAAUCUCGAAAGAUUCACACUUGAAAGGUCCUUAUCUUUCGAGAUAAAACAACUAUCUUUCGAAAAGAUUCCCUGAUCGAAAGAUAUAUUUCGAACUUCGAGGGACGGGUCGAAGGAUAUAAAUCUUUCGAGCCCUUCUUGAUCGAAAGAUAUCGAAGGAUGAUCUUUCGAUGUCGAAAGAUAUCUUUCGAUAUGUUCUGACACACUGACACAAAGUGAUGGGUUGGUGAAAAGGUGACAGGUUGGUAAGGUCAACUUUCGGCAAAAGGUAUGGUCAGACGUACUUUCCCACCAACUUUGAAAAUUUUGCCAAAAAUGAAAUCCUUAUCUUCAACACCAGUCACCGGAAUGUUAACCGGAGACUUAACCGGAAAAUACAAAAUCACUUAAAACAAUUUUUCAAGUUACCCAACCCCACUUAAAACACUCCCGGUUUGGCAUGAUUCUGCUGUUUUUGUACUGUUGUUUAGACACGUUUUUACUCAAAGAAAAUGCAAGAAAACAAGUAAAAACAGGUGCAAAAACCAAGUGUUUCAACACACCAAACUUGUAAAAACCCGGUUUUAAACAAGGUUAAGAGCCUUAGCUCUGAUACCACUUGUAGGUCCCUUUUCGAGGAGGAUUACGA